rnacentral:rRNA from 1 species
GACAGAGGGUGCAAACGUUGUUCGGAAUUACUGGGCGUAAAGCGCGUGUAGGUUGCUCCGCAAGUCGGAUGUGAAAGCCCUGGGCUCAACCUAGGAAGUGCAUUCGAAACUUCGGAGCUGGAGUCCUGGAGAGGAAGGCGGAAUUCUCGGUGUAGAGGUGAAAUUCGUAGAUAUCGAGAGGAAGACCAGUGGCGAAGGCGGGUCUCUGGACAGUUCCUGACGCUGAGGCACGAAGGUCAGGGGAGCAAACGGG